UUAAGCAUAUCAAUAAGCGGAGGAAAAGAAACCAACAGGGAUUGCCCUAGUAACGGCGAGUGAAGCGGCAACAGCUCAAAUUUGAAAUCUGGCUCUUUCAGAGUCCGAGUUGUAAUUUGCAGAGGGCGCUUUGGCUUUGGCAGCGGUCCAAGUUCCUUGGAACAGGACGUCACAGAGGGUGAGAAUCCCGUACGUGGUCGCUAGCUAUUGCCGUGUAAAGCCCCUUCGACGAGUCGAGUUGUUUGGGAAUGCAGCUCUAAAUGGGAGGUAAAUUUCUUCUAAAGCUAAAUAUUGGCCAGAGACCGAUAGCGCACAAGUAGAGUGAUCGAAAGAUGAAAAGCACUUUGGAAAGAGAGUCAAACAGCACGUGAAAUUGUUGAAAGGGAAGCGCUUGCAGCCAGACUUGCUUGCAGUUGCUCAUCCGGGCUUUUGCCCGGUGCACUCUUCUGUAGGCAGGCCAGCAUCAGUUUGGGCGGUGGGAUAAAGGUCUCUGUCACGUACCUCUCUUCGGGGAGGCCUUAUAGGGGAGACGACAUACCACCAGCCUAGACUGAGGUCCGCGCAUCUGCUAGGAUGCUGGCGUAAUGGCUGUAAGCGGCCCGUCUUGAAACACGGACCAAGGAGUCUAACAUCUAUGCGAGUGUUUGGGUGUCAAGCCCGAGCGCGUAAUGAAAGUGAACGGAGGUGGGAACCCGCAAGGGUGCACCAUCGACCGAUCCUGAAGUUUACGGAAGGAUUUGAGUAAGAGCAUGGCUGUUGGGACCCGAAAGAUGGUGAACUAUGCUUGAAUAGGGUGAAGCCAGAGGAAACUCUGGUGGAGGCUCGCAGCGGUUCUGACGUGCAAAUCGAUCGUCAAAUUUGGGCAUAGGGGCGAAAGACUAAUCGAACUAUCUAGUAGCUGGUUCCUGCCGAA
rnacentral:rRNA from 1 species